rfam:Myotis brandtii contig242611, whole genome shotgun sequence.
GCCAACGUGGCUCUGUGGUUGAGCGUCAACCUAUGAAGUAGGAGAUCAUGGUUCGAUUCCCAGUGAGGGCA